GGGCGUGUAGCUCAAUUAGGUGGAGCAGCGGAUUCCAAAUCCGAAGGCUGCGGGUUCGAUUCCUGUCACGCCCG
rnacentral:tRNA from 1 species